rnacentral:misc_RNA from 1 species
CAUCCCUGGUCAGGUUCC